rnacentral:lncRNA from 1 species
AGGCUGGACCCAGCCAGCCUCAAGGAGGGAAGAGAGGGACAUCAUGGUGGCGCUGGACUCCCUGCAGGUGAUCGCCGGAGGGUGGUGCACUCUGCUCCAGCACCUGCCACCUGCCUAACACGCACUUGGGGACAGCUUCCAAUAGGAUGCAAGUGGCAGACAAAGGGCUCUGCAGAGGCAGAAGAUGAACAGUAAGAUGCAAAGAUCUGGCAACCUUCAGAGCUGGCAUCUCACAGAGAAGAUACUUGGAUGGGCCACAGGCCAAAACUGGGCCAAAACCCUGGAGAGGGGGACCUGGCUCAAGGCCACACCACAUUUCCAUGUCAUUUUCCAGUGGCACCAACUGAGCUGGACAGAUGUUCUCACAGAGCUACACAUGCCACAGUCAUCACUAGUUGCGAGAGUCUCCAGUGUUCAUUAAGCCUAUUUUGCUGGAAGUUUAGUCCCUGGAGGAUUAGUCCCUGCCCUUAAGGAGUGCCAAAGAAGACUUUGGAAUCUAAGUCACAUCUCCCCUGCUGCAAUUUUUUCCUCUUGAUAAUCAAGGAAUCUCACUGAUAAAACUCUCAAUGAGGAGCAGCUCUCCCCAUGAGCAAGUUCUUGCCUUCAUUGCCAGGGAGGCCCCAGCUAAGGUUAUACUGGGAAAGGAAUCUCUGGGGAGUACCUGGAAGAGGUCAGCUUCUCCUCAAAGGAAGCCUCUCCAGCUGGUGUACUGCAAAGCCUUCCAAGACCAAGUUCCCUCUUCCUGGCCUCUGGAACCAGCCUGUGUGCCAGCGCUGUGUCCCCAGUAACACACAUGAGUCUCUCCCUCAGAAGCCACAGAAGGAUGCAGAGAGAGACCAACCCAGGAUUGAUUCUCAGCACUUACUAAUUGUGUGGACAUAACUGCUCUGGACCUCAGCUUUGCUAUCUAUAAAAUGAGCACCCUUUUUAUAGAUAUGAACACUUUAAGAGAGUCAUAAAGAUUGAAGUUGAUUUGUGCUGCGCCUGGCACAGAGGUCUCCCUCAGUAAAUGGCAGCCACUGCUAUUGGGGUGCCCCAACACCCCUUGCCCCUGCCCACCAUUAGCUUUCACUUAGGCCCACACUGAGGGUGUGGCUGUUGUGUUGGGGGAAGGAAAAAAACCAUGCCUGGGUUGCAGGGCCCCCACCACCAACUGGUCUGCUUUUGUGGGAAGCAUUUUCUGAUGCCCUCGCCCUACCCGUGGGCUGGUUGACUAAGUGUCCAGCAUCAUGAGGAAAAGAGCAGGGUUCAGGGACAGCUUGGCUCAGCCCUGAAACUCAUCUGGGCCUAGGUCCAGAUGAGAGGCAAGCCUGGGAGGCCUUCCGUUGUACCCUUGCCUAUCCUGCAGCACCCUCUAGCCUGCAGGCCGCUCCUGGGUGGCAUAGCACCUUGGAUGUCAGGUGUGGGCCUUCCCAGGCACAUGGCAUGAGGGGGCACUUCUGUGGGUUGUUGGGGGCAGGAAGGGAUGUGUCUCCAGCUGGACUUGGGCUCUCGCAUUUUGGGGCCCAGCCAUGCCAGGACAGCACACAUGGGCGCUUAGUGCGAAUCUCAUGAUGGAGCAGAGGAGGAGCAAAGCAAAACCAGGGAGUCCCCAGGCCCCUGCUUCUGCCCCGCCCAGAGACAGUGGAGCAGGUGUCUCCAGCUUCUUAACCUCAACGCACAGUAAGAAAUACAUUUUACAGCAACCAAUAGACACAUACAUUUACAAAACGA